UCAUUCCACAAGCAAAGGAUUCACCAAAAUAUAACCUACAAAAGUAGUGCAACAUGUCUAGCAGCAUUUCUCCAAUCAAGUUUGCUUUCUUCAUUAUGUUCUUCAGUUCAAUUAAUUUACCAUGGAUUCAAGAGAUGACAGUGAUGGCUCAUCGAGAUUUGCCUCUAGAAAUAGUUACGGUGGAAACAAAACUACUUUCCCUCACAGAUAUUGUUACUUGUGGGAAAGUUUGCUCAUCUGAUAGUGAUUGUUCUGACGGCUGGGUUUGUAAGUCUUGCAAAUAUAGAGAUUCAAUCCCAGUACCUUUCUACGUGCCUGCUGGCUAUUAUUGUACUUAAAGAUUUUCCCUAUGUAUAAUUAAAUUUAUGAAUGUGACGUGUGUGAAAGUGUGAGUAUUAUAAUGUUUGUCAAAUAAUAAGAUGUUUGUGUUAUUUAAGAAUUUCUGUAUAUUUUUCCUUUGAAACUUUAUGUGUGUUGAGUGAGAAAGAAAUAAAUGGAGUUGGAAUUAACCUUUGAUGGUUUGUAACAUGUAAUAUUAGCAAUUCAGCUUGUGAUUUACAGGCGUUUGUGAUAAAUAUUUAUUAUUUCUCUA